rnacentral:tRNA from 1 species
GUAUGUAUCGCUCAGUGGUAGAGCAUGUGCUUAGCAUGCCUUAAGGUCCUAGAUUCAAUCCCUAGUACUUCCA